rnacentral:rRNA from 1 species
UGGGGAAUAUUGCACAAUGGAGGGAACUCUGAUGCAGCAACGCCGCGUGCGGGAUGACGGCCUUCGGGUUGUAAACCGCUUUCAGCCAUGACGAAGCUUUUGUGACGGUAGUGGUAGAAGAAGCACCGGCUAACUACGUGCCAGCAGCCGCGGUGAUACGUAGGGUGCGAGCGUUGUCCGGAAUUAUUGGGCGUAAAGAGCUUGUAGGCGGUUUGUCGCGUCGAUAGUGUAAACACGCAGCUUAACUGUGUGCCUGCUGUCGAUACGGGCUGACUAGAGGAGGGUAGGGGAGAAUGGAAUUCCCGGUGGAGCGGUGGAAUGCGCGGAUAUCGGGAGGAACACCAGUGGCGAAGGCGGUUCUCUGGACCUUUCCUGACGCUGAGAAGCGAAAGCGUGGGUAGCAAACAGG